rnacentral:lncRNA from 1 species
UGUGUUAAAUCUUAAACAUUAGACCUUCUUUUAUAGGGGAAAUCCCCCCAACUUUCAAGAGCCCGCCGAUGUGGGAUGAAAUUUCUAUCAAAAAGUCAACACAUCCUUCAGACCCAUGAACUGAAGUUAGAAUUGCAACAAGCAAAUUGUCAAACCCUGAGAAUGGAUUGUUCAUGUGUGAGAGCUAGUUUUAUGACAGAAGCGACGAAGCUGUAUAAACACAUAUCUUUUACUCAAAUUAAUCUGCUAUAGAAGCUAUAACAGUAAUAGCCAUCAAUGUUGGAAUUAUGAGUGAAUCAAUAGAAAAAACUACUUAUAAAAAGGUUAAACACAAUAUGAGAGAAAGAAGAUCAAUUAAUUAAAUCAUUCGGAAGCGACAGAACCAUGUAUUCAUAUAAAACUCAGGUAAUCGAACAGAUUCACGUGCAACAAACAAAGAGAGCAUCAACGACAUUACUUUUAUUGCCACAUUCAUCAUAUGAAUUUUUUUAACCUAAUUCAUAAAAUACUAUUGGUCACCAUUCUACAGGACAUGCCUUUGCUUUGUGUUAAAUCUUGCUUUUUCAUUCAUCCUUCUUAUAGGAUUAAAUACGGUGCAUUCUAUCUUACUUCUUCAACAACAACAACAACCUACUAUAAUCUCACUUAGCGAGGUCUAGGGAGAAUAGUGUGUACGCAGACCUUACCCUUAACCUCGGAUAGAGAAGCUGUUUUCAAAUAGACCCCCGACAUCCUUUCCUCCAAAAACUUUCUACCUUACUUCUUCAUCUUAAUAAUUUCCUUAUGAAUGAACAAAUAUUUAGAGAGAACAAAUAAUAAAGAGAAAAAAAAAAAGAAAAAUCCUUAUCUGUCUCAAGUGGCUAGAGAAUAUUGUUGAGCAAAAGGGGAAUAUCUUUCUCUUCACCAAUCCUCAGCUUUUCUGUGGGCCUCCAACAAGAAUAGAG